GGAUUAGCUCAGUUGGUUAGAGUGUGAUACUAAUAAUGCCAGGGUUGUGGGUUUCAUCCCCAUAUGGGCCA
rnacentral:tRNA from 1 species